UACGUAGGGGGCGAGCGUUAUCCGGAUUUACUGGGUGUAAAGGGAGCGUAGACGGCUGGUCAAGUCUGAAGUGAAAGCCCGGGGCUUAACCCCGGGACGGUUUUGGAAACUGAGCAGCUAGAGUGCUGGAGAGGUAAGCGGAAUUCCUAGUGUAGCGGUGAAAUGCGUAGAUAUUAGGAGGAACACCAGUGGCGGAGGCGGCUUACUGGACAGUAACUGACGUUGAGGCUCGAAAGCGUGGGGAGCAAACAGG
rnacentral:rRNA from 1 species